UCACCAUGAUCAGGGUGAAGAACGAAUCAAUAUAAAAGCUGAGAUUAAAGAGGAAGAAGUGGAGACGUAUGUGGGGGGGUGAUCAGCCGUCCACGGAGGAGUUUGGGAUGAUGAUGAAAAGUGAUCAGGAUGACAUUUCUCUACCGAUCAACACAACAGAUGGAUGUGAUGUCAGGAAUAC